rnacentral:lncRNA from 1 species
CAUAUAUUGAAAUCUAUAUCAUGGGGGGAAAGAUUGGCAUGGGGGAAAAGUUACUAUAUGUAUACGUAUUGUCAACUUUCCGCAGGGGAAGAAUGACAAUGAUCCAAAAUCUCCCCGGGGGAAACAUUGGCUCAUGCCAGUCUUUCCCCCGGGGGAAAAACUGGCAUGGGGGAAGAAUGGCUAUAUAACACCGCCAUUGUU